rnacentral:tRNA from 2 species
GGAGGGGUGGCCGAGUGGCUUAAGGCGGCGCCCUGCUAAGGCGUUGACCCGAGAGGGUCUCGUGGGUUCGAAUCCCACCCCCUCCG